UAUUUGUUCUGUCUAAAAAUAAAUUUGCUUACUUGUGUAGUCUUAACUGUCUGCUCUGAUUCUUAUAAUCAGAUUUAUUGCCCCUCCAAGGUGCCUGCACAGCGGCUCUCUUUUGUGUGCUUCCCAUGAAGGCGAGAAGGAAAUCUGUCUGCCUGGGAGGGGAAAUCAUUUCAGCCAAGACUCAGACUAUAAAUGUUUCUCUCUCGGUUAUCUUGCGUUCAUCUCCCCAAGGCUUCUCAAUUUGACGCCCUUUUUUUUUUUUCAAGUUUUUCAUCAUCAGACCCUUCUAUCCGGUAAGUGUGCGACAGAGGAAUGGCCGUGCUUCAGCUCUCUUAAUUUAAGAGAUUAAAUUAUUGCUGGCGCAUUUCUUGAGGGUAAGUCAUUCCCGAAGGCGGUAUUUUGCAUUCGAGAAUGAGGGGAUUUAUGGCUGUGAGCUCGCUGAAAGCAUCAAGCGGCCGAAAGCUGUGGACAUUGGCUUCUGACACCGGUUCGGUCUUACGGCACACUGUGUUAGUGUGCAGCUGGCAUCAGCCGCUGGAGACGUCGCGGCGGAAGGCAGUGCCCUCAAAAGGCUGGAAAACCGAUUUGCACUUGCGUUUCCAGGGACGUAAUCAAAUCAGCCAGCGGGUUCAAUAAAAGGGACAAGCAAACAUGCCAGAUUUGCGUGCGUUUGCAAACAAAACCUGUUGCAAGACUCUCAGGUUUUAAGGUUUUUUCCCCCACCACCGCCCCCCAAAAAAGCUAUUUUUGGAUGAAAAAUGUUGCAGGCUGCUGCAGGAAGCCAUUUUAUAUUCCCUUAAAGUCAUAUCUGUAGCUAAAAGGACACAUUUCAGGGAAGUUCAUGCGAGGGCUUGGGCUGUCACCCUUCCUUCCCUUUGGAAACUGUCCCUGUGCAUACGUUAUGGUCACAGAGUCCAUUUUCAGUGAUUUAUCCCCCUCUCCAGGCACCGUCCGCCCUCUCCUUGCCUCUUUCCUCCCCCUCUGACCUAUCUCCAGCUUUUUUUCCCAGUUUAUCAAGGUUUUCUAGAUGUUUCCUGCUGCUCCUCGCAGCACGAGCAGCACUGCCUGUGGUGACGGACGCUGGCACGAGAAGGAGGGAGCAGAGAUGAAUCCCGUGGGGAGAAGCUGGGAACAAGAAGCCCGGCUUCAUGCAGGCUGCCGUCGGGUGUACUGUUAGGAAGACGCCACUCUGGGAAGCAGUGGAUAAGCCCAGGCAAUGCCUUCCAUAGGCGGUGGUGGCAGUAAGUAAUUAUUUCUGAUUUGGGCUCCCUUAAGCUUUAUAUCGCACCCUAAAAGAUCAAGUUUCAGUGGAAAAAUCACAAAAAUAAGAAAGCAAGGGUACCCAGUGAGUGGUUUGAUGUUACAGAGCCAGCGUUUCUCUAUUUUUUUUGUUGCCUUUCAUGCCACUUUCACCAGCAUUGCCUUUUCAGAAGGCUUUAGCGCAGAAAUUAUUAGAUUUUAGAGAAAGUAGUGGAAAAUCCACUUGCUCAGCGCUGAAAAGCACCGGGGGCUGGGGGCUGUCGCGCAGGGAGAUCUCCAGCAAACAGGCCCCAAAAAAAGAAAGAAAACCAACCUGUCACCCUGAGCAAAUCCCCUGUUUUUAGAUGGGGAGAUGGGAGCCUGGUGCCCCCUAAAAAUCUGAAGCCAGAGCUGCUGGCCACCCUGGCUCCCAACGGAGAUGGUCUCAGCAAAGGCAGCCUUCACCAAGACUUGUGCACCCACAGCCCCGAGGGCAUCAUUCUUUGGCCCUGAGCGUGUAUUUUUUGAGGUGGCUAAAAGCCUUGUUGGGAGAGACAGAUGGAUAUCUUCAGAAAAGGCUGCUGAGGAGGAAAAGAGCCAGCUUCUCUUUGAAUUCAACCAGCUGUUUGAAUUCAAGCUUCUCUUUGAAUUCAAGCCCUGUCCAAACCCAGUGAGGCCUGUCCGCUUCAAACUGGGAAACCCCAUAACAAGGUGGAUGAGAAAUGCCAACUCUUGGUGUCGAGGUGUUAUGAAAGUCACGCCCAAGAAAAUCCCGAGCUCACGUCGUGGUAUUUGCUGCCCUGAGGGAAAUGCUGAAAGAAGCCCACCCUGCAGAUCUCAGGAAGCUGCAGAUGCUAAUGGGAAGAUGUAGGGAGCAUUCUGAGCCCCUGAAAAAAGUAUUUUCAGAUUUUGCAGGAGGAAGGUGUAGGCACCCUUUUGAUCACUGAUGAAAAUGCACUGGGUAAAGAAAGGCAGGGUUAGUAUCACCACUGUAAAGCCCUGAGCUGUUGAGACCCACGUUGAGGUAGUCGUGAUGUGUGAAACAGUUUGCUUCCUACAGAAUUCAAUAGCAAAAAAGUAGGGGCAGAAAGAUUUCAGAGCUUAUUGUGGUUUGAUUUAUUGCUUCUCCCCGAGUUACUUCAAUGCCAAGAGCAAAUGGCUUCCUCCCCAUUACUGAAAGAUCAUUUGAGAGAAACCUGGGGAAGAGCAGUUAGGUUGGCCAUCUCCAGUAGCCAGCUAAACCACAGCCAGAGCUGGUUAUGGGAUUGCUUGGAUGUUUAAAGUCAGCUGCCAGGAAAGAUUUGGGGAAAAUGGCUCAUAUUGUGGGAAUGAGGCAGACCACUGAGCAGGUGAAGUGUGUCCAUGGCAGGGAAGGGCACUCCGUCCUCUCACUGCCCGGCCACCAAAUGCUGAGGAACUGGAGGAAGAUUGCGCCACUGCAAAAUAAGGGGGAUCGUGGCAGCUGACCUGCCCGGUGGCCGAGGAGGGAUCGGUGAGUCUCAGACCUCAGCGUGUAACCUCAAACUCCUCUCUUGCCUGCCGGGGAGCCAAGACAUACGCCGUCUUCUGCACAGAUAAAGCUGCUUUACACGCUUCAACCGUCGCAGGAGAGCCACGUCCAGGGCGAGCUCUGCAUCCCGGCUCCUGUUUCGGAACCACAUCCUUCCUCUCAGUCCAUUGGGUUGAUCCAAGGAUGAUCCUGGUUCAGGCUGCAACAGCCUUAGGGGUGAGGUUUUGCUGCUCCUUUGCUGACGCUGGGGAGAGGAUCCCCCCCAUCUCUGAUCGAUACCUAAGAAACCUCUUUAGUUCCUGAUAAGGAACCAAAAGAAAUGUAUCCAUUCAAGCUUUCCAAUUAGGCUUUUCCUAUUAAACGUUUUAAUGGUGGUAAGGAGUCAGUAAAUAGAAAUUUAUCACCAAAGUGUAUGUGUACAUGGAUAUAUAAACAUACGUCUCCAUAUACUGAGACAGAUAUGUUGGCAAGUAGUUACUGGAUAGUUGUUUCCAGUGUAAAACUUAGAAUAAUAAUCAACUUAUUAGUUAGCACAUAUGCAACUAACUAGCUUAGCUAGCUUGCUAACAACUAGCUAAUGCUGUUCUCUGGUUUUGCUGCAAGCCUCGGAGUACAUGGUAUUUCUCCCAGCAGGGGCGACAUGAGACUUCAAUGCUAACAUGUGGCCUUCUUUCUGAUUUUGUUUCCUUGUACUACAUAAUGAGGAAAACUUAAAAAUUUGAAAGGCAUAAAUGAAAGACAUAUAUAAAAGCCACCCGACAUUUGUUUUAAUGCUGCACCAUAGCCUCCUGAGAGCCAAGACCAUUUUUUGGGGUUAUUUUGGACAAGCCACGGGUUGAUUUUUAUGGUGGGUAUCGGUCUCCUUUCUGCUCUUGAAGGCACACCAUCCGUGCUGUCCUUGGGAAGCUCUCGGUGAAAAGAUUUAUUGUCCGUUGCCAGGCUGGAGCUUUCGCCUUACCCCAGAGCUGUUCUCUGCUGCAGUGCCACAAACAUGGGCAUUUUGCUUAAAAAUAACCUGCUGGAAACAAAUGAGCAAAUAAAACAUCCAAGUGUAUGCAAA